GAUGAACGCUGGCGGCGUGCCUAAUACAUGCAAGUCGAGCGAAUGGAUUAAGAGCUCGCUCUUAUGAAGUUAGCGGCGGACGGGUGAGUAACACGUGGGUAACCUGCCCAUAAGACUGGGAUAACUCCGGGAAACCGGGGCUAAUACCGGAUAACAUUUUGAACCGCAUGGUUCGAAAUUGAAAGGCGGCUUCGGCUGUCACUUAUGGAUGGACCCGCGUCGCAUUAGCUAGUUGGUGAGGUAACGGCUCACCAAGGCAACGAUGCGUAGCCGACCUGAGAGGGUGAUCGGCCACACUGGGACUGAGACACGGCCCAGACUCCUACGGGAGGCAGCAGUAGGGAAUCUUCCGCAAUGGACGAAAGUCUGACGGAGCAGCGCCGCGUGAGUGAUGAAGGCUUUCGGGUCGUAAAACUCUGUUGUUAGGGAAGAACAAGUGCUAGUUGAAUAAGCUGGCAUCUUGACGGUACCUAACCAGAAAGCCACGGCUAACUACGUGCCAGCCGCCGCGGUAA
rnacentral:rRNA from 1 species